rnacentral:rRNA from 1 species
CCUACGGGUGGCUGCAGUCGAGGAUCUUCGGCAAUGGGCGAAAGCCUGACCGAGCGACGCCGCGUGUGGGAUGAAGGCCUUCGGGUUGUAAACCACUGUCAGUGGGGAGGAAGUAUUAGAGGGUUCACCCUCUAGUUUGACCUAUCCGCAGAGGAAGGACGGGCUAAGUUCGUGCCAGCAGCCGCGGUAAUACGAACCGUCCUAACGUUAUUCGGAAUCACUGGGGUUAAAGGGUGCGUAGGCGGCUCUAGAAAGCCCUCGGCGUAACCGAGGAAUUGCGCUCAAAACUGUAGGGCUUGAGGGAGAUAGAGGUAAGCGGAACUUAGGGUGGAGCGGUGAAAUGCGUUGAUAUCCUAAGGAACACCGGUGGCGUAAGCGGCUUACUGGGUCUCUUCUGACGCUGAGGCACGAAAGCUAGGGGAGCGAACGGGAUUAGAUACCCCAGUAGUC